rnacentral:rRNA from 1 species
UGACGGUACCUGACUAAGAAGCCCCGGCUAACUACGUGCCAGCAGCCGCGGUAAUACGUAGGGGGCAAGCGUUAUCCGGAUUUACUGGGUGUAAAGGGAGCGUAGACGGAAUUGCAAGUCUGAUGUGAAAGGCAUGGGCUCAACCUGUGGACUGCAUUGGAAACUGUGAUUCUUGAGUGCCAGAGGGGUAAGCGGAAUUCCUGGUGUAGCGGUGAAAUGCGUAGAUAUCAGGAGGAACACCGGUGGCGAAGGCGGCUUACUGGACAGUAACUGACGCUGAGGCGCGAGAGCGUGGGGAGCAAACAGGAUUAGAUACCCUG